AGACUGCUUAGCAAUGCUGGAAUCUUGGAGACAUCAGCAUGCUUAUGUCACAAGCCACAUCUGUCACUGCAGGAUUUGUGUUUGUCCUCACGUUAAUAAUAACUGAUGGAGGCACCAAGUCGCCUUCCCUUAAAAGCAAGGAGUCUGAAUAUCAGUUUGGGAAGAGGUGCUUCAAAGAUCAAACCAGGCCCAUGACAGUGACAUGUACAGAGAGGAAGAAACCGGACAGCUGAGGAAGGCCCAUGAUUUAAAAACUAUUAGAUUCAUCCAUUCAGUACUUGGUUACUGGUCACUCAGCAUUGCUCUGGUGUGGAAGUUCAAAAGAUGAGUGAGAAAUGUCUGUGACUCAAAAGGAUUACAGUAAAGACAAGGGUACAUAAAUCUUCACUUGGUUCUAUGUUCCACAUAGUUCUUGUGCUGGUCAACUGUAUUUUUUUCCCCAGCAAAUAUAACAUUAAUGGGUAACUUGUGAAGCAACUGUCUAAUGUGACAUUUGGGUUACUUUUUGAAAUAGGUGCACAAGUCUGUUCACAGCAUCAUACGGCUUUUUAUUGUAUAAAUAAACACCUGGUGGCUCAGUUUCAGCAUAAAUUUCUAAAUUCUAUGUGUAAAAUGUCUUUGCAUCUACCAGGACAUAUAUUUUUAUAUCACAUUUGGAAGGUUUAUUUGGCAUAUGUUGCUACAACCUUCAACAACCAUGAAAUGAUUCAAAUUGUUCCUCCAUUAUCAUGUACUC
rnacentral:lncRNA from 1 species